rnacentral:lncRNA from 1 species
GCAUAUAAAUUGAUCAAUUAUGCAAUAAAUUCAUUACAUGGAGUAAUAUAUAAUUGUCAAAGUACUGUUCUGCAAUGAAACUUUAGCAAAGGGAUCACAUAAAAAUAUUUUAGGACCCUUUUGAUAAUUCAACUUUCGGCUGGGGACCAUAUAUGAAUUUCAAAAGCCCCUUUUUCAGAAUAACAUAUAUUCAGGGGUUUAACUGUAAAAGGCCCAAUUUAAGCCAAAAGGAUUCGGGUUUCGGGUUGCGGGCGAAGCCCAAUAACCCGAAACCUGUUAAUCCCUUCACCCUUUUUUUUUUUAAUUAACCGGAUUCGGGUUUCGGGUUAAAACCCGAAACCCAACACUAUUCAUCUUCCCCAAAUGAAAAGAGGAGAAGGGGGCCAAAACCAGUGGGCCCCUUCUCUCCUAAACGACGGCGGCGCAACCGCCACCGCCGGCCGUAGGCACGGCUGCAGGCCGCGGGGCGGCCACAAGGCGGGGCCGGAGGCCGGGGUCGGCCGCGG